rnacentral:lncRNA from 1 species
GCUAGAUCCGAUCGGUUUCAAAAUGGCCACCAUUACGAUGGCCGUAGUGUUAGGCUUAUAAUAAGAGCCUAACACUACGGCCAUCGUUUCGUUCGGUGGUACAAAAUUUAGUGUAUGGAACACCACCAGAAACAGGUGGCCGACACGGUUACAUUUUUCUCUCGCUGUUCGUCUAGUUUUCGGGCUAUUCCGACUAAACAAACGGCCCCGCUGUGUCUUAUCUCUCGGCGAGGUCGGUCACGAAUCCACCCAACUAAUGUAUGUAAGGACACGGACCCGUGUUCUCACUCUAGCCGGAUGGGUCGACUACCCUUGAACCGGCUUCUCGGGUGUCACGACAUUGUUCCGUUUGGCAGACUAAUAGUUGUUAGAUAAAGUAUGUGUGUGUGUAGUCCGAUACGAAUGCGAGCAG